GGAUUUUUGAAGAGAAAAUUUGCUGGAUUUUCCGGAUUUGUUCGGAUUUUCCGGAUUUGUUCGGAUUUUUUUCUGGAUUUUUGAAAAUCUGUUGGAUUUUCCGGAUUUGUUUGGAUUUUCCGGAUUUGUUCGGAUUUUUUCUGGAUUUUUUUAAAUUAUAGAGUUAUAGAGCUAGGUAACGUUUUGAACAAAUAAUCUUAAAGAUGCGGUAAAGUCCUUUCUGCGCAUAUAUUCUGCGCAUCAAAACAUUCCAUCAGUGGGGGAGCAUAUACUCGAGCGUAUAAAUGGAAAUGUAGAGUGGUCCAAUAAUUACGAAAUAUAAUGACAGCGAUCACGGUAAGCGUUUAGCUUUCGCUGUCCGCCAUUUUGAACGUGACAAAGAACCUUUACGAGUAAAUUACACCAAGUACUUCAUAUAUUUUUUGUGGAUUUGCGGAUUUUUUGAGGAUUUUGAAGGAUUUCUGUGGAUUUUUGAAGGAUUUCUGUGGUUUUUAAAGGAUUUUUCGGAUUUUGAUGGAUUCAACGGAUUUUGAGGAUUUCAUGGAUUUUUUCUGGAUUUUUUCCGGAUUUUUUGACGAAG
rnacentral:lncRNA from 1 species